UACGUAGGGGGCAAGCGUUGUCCGGAUUCAUUGGGCGUAAAGAGCUCGUAGGUGGCCUGUCGCGUCGGCUGUGAAAACUCGGGGCUCAACUCCGAGCUUGCAGUCGAUACGGGCAGGCUAGAGUUCGGCAGGGGAGACUGGAAUUCCUGGUGUAGCGGUGAAAUGCGCAGAUAUCAGGAGGAACACCGGUGGCGAAGGCGGGUCUCUGGGCCGAUACUGACACUGAGGAGCGAAAGCGUGGGGAGCGAACAGG
rnacentral:rRNA from 1 species